rnacentral:rRNA from 1 species
GAUGAACGCUGGCGGCGUGCCUAAUACAUGCAAGUCGAGCGAACGGACGAGAAGCUUGCUUUUCUGAUGUUAGCGGCGGACGGGUGAGUAACACGUGGAUAACCUACUUAUAAGACUGGGAUAACUUCGGGAAACCGGAGCUAAUACCGGAUAAUAUUUUGAACCGCAUGGUUCAAAAGUGAAAGACGGUCUUGCUGUCACUUAUAGAUGGAUCCGCGCUGCAUUAGCUAGUUGGUAAGGUAACGGCUUACCAAGGCAACGAUGCAUAGCCGACCUGAUAGGGUGAUCGGCCACACUGGAACUGAGACACGGUCCAGAGUCCUACGGGAGGCAGCAGUAGGGAAUCUUCCGCAAUGGGCGAAAGCCUGACGGAGCAACGCCGCGUGAGUGAUGAAGGUCUUCGGAUCGUAAAGCUCUGUUAUUAGGGAAGAACAUAUGUGUAAGUAGCUGUGCACAUCUUGACGGUACCUAAUCAGAAAGCCACGGCUAACUACGUG